CCUACGGGAGACAGCAGUGAGGAAUAUUGGUCAAUGGACGCAAGUCUGAACCAGCCAUGCCGCGUGCAGGAAGACGGCUCUAUGAGUUGUAAACUGCUUUUGUACGAGCGUAAACGCAGAUACGCGUAUCUGUCUGAACGUCUCCUACGAAUAAGGAUCGGCUAGCUCCGUGCCAGCAGCGGCGGUAAUUCGGAGGAUUCAAGCGUUAUCCGGAUUUAGUGGGUGUAAAGGGUGCGUAGGCGGUCGGAUAAGUUAGAGGUGAAAUCCCGAGGCUCAACUUCGGAAUUGCCUCUGAUACUGUUCGGCUAGAGAGCAGGUGCGGUAGGCGGAAUGUAUGGUGUAGCGGUGAAAUGCGUAGAGAUCAUACAGAACACCGAUUGCGAAGGCAGCUUACCAAGCUACUUCUGACGUUGAGGCACGAAAGCGUGGGGAGCAAACAGGAUUAGAUACCCCAGUAGUC
rnacentral:rRNA from 1 species